rnacentral:lncRNA from 1 species
GCAGGGUCCCCGGCCAGCUCAGAAGCUGCAUUUGACACCCGCCCAGGUCUGCUCACUGUCCUUGAACCCCAGGGUUCCCAUCCAUGGCCAGCAGCAGUCCUGGCCCCACCGCUUCCUGCACACGUUGCUGUAUGGCGAACCUCCUUAGACAAGACCAGGAGGGAGGUGCCCUGUCGGAAGAACGCCAGUCCGCCCUCCUCGCUGUCGCCUCCCUUUUCCUCCCCAGCAGGGAAGAAAAUGUCCUCCGCCCCCAUCUCCGAUCUCAGUGGGGGCGCGGGGCGCGGGAGGCCCCACAGCACCCGCGUCCACGCGGCCCCUUCCUCCACGAUUGCACUCCCGGGCCUGCCCCGGCCUGGAAACUGAGGCAGGGGAGCAACACUCGCAGCGUCGCGGAAGCUGCUCUUCCUGUCCACCUCUCCUUCAGGCCGUCUUCAGGCCCACGGGAGGCAAGGGUGCCUCACCUCGCUACCCAGAGAGCAGGUACCCGACCCAGGACGCUGGAGCUCUGCCUCCACUUUCUCCCUACAGGGCUGUCUGAGUGCCUCAGUGGAUGGGGUUUCUCCUUUGCCUUGCUUCUCUCUGCAGCCUGGACUGUAGAUCAGCACCUAAAGCGCUGUCAUGGGAUGAAUGAAACUCCUUGAGCAGAAUUUAACCCAGCUGAUUCACCUGCAGACCUGCUACCCCUGCUACCCCUGCUACCUCUGCUACCCCUGCUACCUCUGCUACCUACACAGGCCACAUCCUAUCAGGCCAUGGACAGGGUGCUGGGAAAGCUGGGCAGACAGACAGAAGCCCUGAGGUCUGAGAGCUGGCUCAUAGACUUGGUGACACAAAAGACAGGAAAAGCUGGAGACAGGCUGGCAGAAGGUAAGGCCCUUUGUGACCCACGAUGACU